rnacentral:rRNA from 1 species
AGCUCCAGUAGCGUAUAUUAAUGUUGUUGCAGUUAAAAAGCUCGUAGUUGGAUUUCUAGCCGACAUGCGUGGUCCGCUUCGCUUUGCGUCGUGAGUACCGCAGCGUGUCGUCUAUCCUAUUCGUUGCCCUUGGCUUCGGUCGAGGGUCGACGGAUUCUUUUACUUUGAAAAAAUUAGAGUGUUUAAAGCAGGCUUUCGCCUUGAAUACAUUAGCAUGGAAUAAUAACAUAGGACUUCGGUCUCUAUUUUGUUGGUUUCUGGAACUGAAGUAAUGAUUGAUAGGGAUAGUUGGGGGUGCUAGUAUUUAGCGGCCAGAGGUGAAAUUCUCGGAUUCGCUAAAGACUAACUUAUGCGAAAGCAUUCACCAAGGAUGUCUUCU